rnacentral:rRNA from 1 species
AACGAACGCUGGCGGCAUGCCUAACACAUGCAAGUCGAACGAGACCUUCGGGUCUAGGGGCGCACGGGUGCGUAACGCGUGGGAAGCUGCCCUUAGGUUCGGAAUAACUCCCCGAAAGGGGUGCUAAUACCGGAUAAUGGCUUCUGACCAAAGAUUUAUCGCCUUUGGAUGGGCCCGCGUUGGAUUAGCUAGUUGGUAGGGUAAAAGCCUCCCAAGGCGACGAUCCAUAGCUGGUCUGAGAGGAUGAUCAGCCACACUGGGACUGAGACACGGCCCAGACUCCUACGGGAGGCAGGAGUGGGUAAUAUUGGACAAUGGGCGAAAGCCUGAUCCAGCAAUGCCGCGUGAGUGAUGAAGUCCUUAGGGUUGUAAAGCUCUUUUACCCGGGAUGAUAAUGACAGUACCGGGAGAAUAAGCUCCGGCUAACUCCGUG